rnacentral:rRNA from 1 species
AUACGGAGGGUGCAAGCGUUACUCGGAAUCACUGGGCGUAAAGCGCGCGCAGGCGGUCUUUUAAGUUGGAUGUGAAAGCCUACGGCUCAACCGUAGAACUGCAUCCAAAACUAUUAGACUAGAGUGUGCGAGAGGAAGAUGGAAUUAGUUGUGUAGGGGUAAAAUCCGUAGAGAUAACUAGGAAUACCAAAAGCGAAGGCAAUCUUCUGGAACACUACUGACGCUGAGGCGCGAAAGCGUGGGGAGCAAACAGAAUUAGAAACCCGAGUAGUCC